rnacentral:rRNA from 1 species
GAUGAAUGCUGGCGGCGUGCCUAAUACAUGCAAGUCGAGCGAACGGACGAGAAGCUUGCUUCUCUGAUGUUAGCGGCGGACGGGUGAGUAACACGUGGAUAACCUACCUAUAAGACUGGGAUAACUUCGGGAAACCGGAGCUAAUACCGGAUAAUAUUUUGAACCGCAUGGUUCAAAAGUGAAAGACGGUCUUGCUGUCACUUAUAGAUGGAUCCGCGCUGCAUUAGCUAGUUGGUAAGGUAACGGCUUACCAAGGCAACGAUGCAUAGCCGACCUGGGAGGGUGAUCGGCCACACUGGAACUGAGACACGGUCCAGACUCCUACGGGAGGCAGCAGUAGGGAAUCUUCCGCAAUGGGCGAAAGCCUGACGGAGCAACGCCGCGUGAGUGAUGAAGGUCUUCGGAUCGUAAAACUCUGUUAUUAGGGAAGAACAUAUGUGUAAGUAACUGUGCACAUCUUGACGGUACCUAAUCAGAAAGCCACGGCUAACUACGUG